GACGAACGCUGGCGGCGUGCUUAACACAUGCAAGUCGAGCGGUAAGGCCCUUUCGGGGGUACACGAGCGGCGAACGGGUGAGUAACACGUGGGUGACCUGCCUUUAGCUCUGGGAUAAGCCUGGGAAACUGGGUCUAAUACCGGAUACGACUCCGCGGUGCAUGCUGUGGGGUGGAAAGCCUUGUGCGGCUGGAGAUGGGCCCGCGGCCUAUCAGCUUGUUGGUGGGGUGAUGGCCACCAAGGCGACGACGGGUAGCCGGUCUGAGAGGGCGACCGGCCACACUGGGACUGAGACACGGCCCAGACUCCUACGGGAGGCAGCAGUGGGGAAUAUUGGACAAUGGCGCAAGCCUGAUCCAGCGAUGCCGCGUGUGUGAAGAAGGUCUG
rnacentral:rRNA from 1 species